GAUCAUGGCUCAGGAUGAACGCUAGCUACAGGCUUAACACAUGCAAGUCGAGGGAAAGCAUGGUCUUAGCUUGCUAAGGCCGAUGGCGACCGGCGCACGGGUGAGUAACACGUAUCCAACCUGCCGUCUACUCUUGGACAGCCUUCUGAAAGGAAGAUUAAUACAAGAUGGCAUCAUGAGUCCGCAUGUUCACAUGAUUAAAAGGUAUUCCGGUAGACGAUGGGG
rnacentral:rRNA from 1 species